rnacentral:rRNA from 1 species
CGGGGUACACGAGCGGCGAACGGGUGAGUAACACGUGGGUGACCUGCCCUUCACUCUGGGAUAAGCCCGGGAAACUGGGUCUAAUACCGGAUAUUCACUUUGCCUCGCAUGGGGUUUGGUGGAAAGUUUUUUCGGUGGGGGAUGGGCCCGCGGCCUAUCAGCUUGUUGGUGGGGUGAUGGCCUACCAAGGCGACGACGGGUAGCCGGCCUGAGAGGGCGACCGGCCACACUGGGACUGAGACACGGCCCAG